rnacentral:rRNA from 1 species
AACGAACGCUGGCGGCAUGCCUAACACAUGCAAGUCGAACGAGACCUUCGGGGCUAGUGGCGCACGGGUGCGUAACGCGUGGGAACCUGCCCUUAGGUUCGGAAUAACUCCCCGAAAGGGGUGCUAAUACCGGAUAAGGUCUUCGGACCAAAGAUUUAUCGCCUUUGGAUGGGCCCGCGUUGGAUUAGCUAGUUGGUUGGGUAAAAGCCUACCAAGGCGACGAUCCAUAGCUGGUCUGAGAGGAUGAUCAGCCACACUGGGACUGAGACACGGCCCAGACUCCUACGGGAGGCAGCAGUGGGGAAUCUUGGACAAUGGGCGAAAGCCUGAUCCAGCCAUGCCGCGUGAAUGAUGAAGGUCUUAGGGUUGUAAAGCUCUUUUACCCGGGAUGAUAAUGACAGUACCGGGAGAAUAAGCCCCGGCUAACUCCGUG